CUACGGGCUGCAGCAGUGGGGAAUAUUGCACAAUGGGGGAAACCCUGAUGCAGCGAUGCCGCGUGAACGAAGAAGGCUUUCGAGUCGUAAAGUUCUGUUCUUAGGGAAGAAAAUGACGGUACCUAAGGAGAAAGCACCGGCUAAAUACGUGCCAGCAGCCGCGGUAAUACGUAUGGUGCAAGCGUUGUCCGGAAUUACUGGGCGUAAAGAGUUCGUAGGCGGUCAAAUAAGUCAGAAGUGAAAGGCUACGGCUCAACCGUAGUAAGCUUUUGAAACUGUUUGACUUGAGUACUGGAGAGGAAAGUGGAAUCCCUAGUGUAGCGGUGAAAUGCGUAGAUAUUAGGAGGAACACCAGUGGCGAAGGCGGCUUUCUGGACAGUAACUGACGCUGAGGAACGAAAGCGUGGGGAGCAAACAGGAUUAGAUACCCGGGUAGUC
rnacentral:rRNA from 1 species